CACGAUAAUAGCACACCCGGAGUAAUCCGGGGCCGCAAAGCCAUGAGUCCCUCGAGGGAUCGUCAGGUUGCCGAAA
rnacentral:ncRNA from 1 species